UACAGAGGGGGCAAGCGUUGUUCGGAAUUACUGGGCGUAAAGGGCGCGUAGGCGGCCUGCUAAGUCGAACGUGAAAUCCCUGGGCUCAACCCAGGAACUGCGUCCAAGACUGGGAGGCUUGAAUCCGGGAGAGGGAUGCGGAAUUCCAGGUGUAGCGGUGAAAUGCGUAGAUAUCAGGAAGAACACCAAUGGCGAAGGCAGCUCUCUGGGACGGUACUGACGCUGAGAAGCGAAAAGCAUGGGGAGCGAACAGG
rnacentral:rRNA from 1 species